GACGAACGCUGGCGGCGUGCCUAAUACAUGCAAGUAGAACGCUGAAGAGAGGAGCUUGCUCUUCUUGGAUGAGUUGCGAACGGGUGAGUAACGCGUAGGUAACCUGCCUUGUAGCGGGGGAUAACUAUUGGAAACGAUAGCUAAUACCGCAUAACAAUGGAUGACACAUGUCAUUUAUUUGAAAGGGGCAAUUGCUCCACUACAAGAUGGACCUGCGUUGUAUUAGCUAGUAGGUGAGGUAAUGGCUCACCUAGGCGACGAUACAUAGCCGACCUGAAAGGGGGAUCGGCCACACUGGGAAUGGGACACGGCCCAGACUCAUACGGGAGGAAGCAGUAGGGAAUCUUCGGCAAUGGGGGCAACCCUGACAGAGCAACGCCGCGUGAGUGAAGAAGGUUUUCGGAUCGUAAAGCUCUGUUGUAAGUCAAGAACGGGUGUGAGAGUGGAAAGUUCACAAUGUGACGGUAGCUUACCAGAAAGGGACGGCUAACUACGUG
rnacentral:rRNA from 1 species